rnacentral:lncRNA from 1 species
GACCUCACACUAAAACAUUAGACAUCAUAGGUGGUAGUUCCUAAGGCUGCUCACCAACAUUUCUGGGUUUUCCUCAUUUAGGUACUCAGUAUUAAUGCAUUUCUCCAUCUCCUUGAAUGCCAUGUGACUUGAUUUGGCUGAUGAAAUUGUGGAGUGAUGGGCAUUUCUGAAGGCAGCUACGACAGGAACUCCAGACAGGAGUAAGUGAAAGCCUUCCCACGAGAAGCAGAAAUGAGUUUUGCCAUCUUCAAGGGCCUUGGAGUCUUCCAUGGGAUCUUCUGCCUCCAUCCAGGAGACAACAGAAGGAGAGUGGAAGACUGUGGAUUACUUUCAUUCACAUUCUACUGACCAGAAUCCAGUUUCACGGUCCCACUUUACAUAAGGGAUUGGGAAAUAUACUUUACUCUGCGACCACGAAGAUGAGGAAAAAUAUGGAUAAUGAAUAGGACCCUACAUCUGCCUUAGGAGAUGAGGACAAGAAUAAGGUUGGUCCAUUGUAAAUCUUUCUGAACACAAUCUCCUCACUGCUUUUUCCUGGGUGAAGAACUCACCUCCUUUAGUAUGUGAGAUGAAUCCCUGUGAUGGCAUCCAAUUACAGCUUUUCCUUUUUCACUGGGGUACAAAGUUGCAUUUUCUUUAUAUUCUAAUAGAAAC